rnacentral:rRNA from 1 species
AUUGAACGCUGGCGGCAUGCCUUACACAUGCAAGUCGAACGGCAGCACGGGAGCAAUCCUGGUGGCGAGUGGCGAACGGGUGAGUAAUGUAUCGGAACGUACCAUUGAGUGGGGGAUAACGUAGCGAAAGUUACGCUAGUACCGCAUAUACCCUGAGGGGGAAAGCAGGGGAUCGCAAGACCUUGUGCUCUUUGAGCGGCCGAUAUCAGAUUAGCUAGUUGGUGAGGUAAAGGCUCACCAAGGCGACGAUCUGUAGCGGGUCUGAGAGGAUGAGCCGCCACACUGGAACUGAGAGACGGUCCAGACUCCUACGGGAGGCAGCAGUGGGGAAUUUUGGACAAUGGGGGCAACCCUGAUCCAGCCAUGCCGCGUGAGUGAAGAAGGCCUUCGGGUUGUAAAGCUCUUUCGGCCGGGAGGAAAUCGCAUCAGCUAAUACCUGGUGUGGAUGACAGUACCGGAAUAAGAAGCACCGGCUAACUACGUGCCAGCAGCCGCAGUAACAC